rnacentral:rRNA from 1 species
GACGAACGCUGGCGGCGUGCCUAAUACAUGCAAGUCGAACGCUUCUUUCCUCCCGAGUGCUUGCACUCAAUUGGAAAGAGGAGUGGCGGACGGGUGAGUAACACGUGGGCAACCUACCCAUCAGAGGGGGAUAACACUUGGAAACAGGUGCUAAUACCGCAUAACAGUUUAUGCCGCAUGGCAUAAGAGUGAAAGGCGCUUUCGGGUGUCGCUGAUGGAUGGACCCGCGGUGCAUUAGCUAGUUGGUGAGGUAACGGCUCACCAAGGCCACGAUGCAUAGCCGACCUGAGAGGGUGAUCGGCCACACUGGGGCUGAGACACGGCCCAGACUCCUACGGGAGGCAGCAGUAGGGAAUCUUCGGCAAUGGACGAAAGUCUGACCGAGCAACGCCGCGUGAGUGAAGAAGGUUUUCGGAUCGUAAAACUCUGUUGUUAGAGAAGAACAAGGACGUUAGUAACUGAACGUCCCCUGACGGUAUCUAACCAGAAAGCCACGGCUAACUACGUG